GACGAACGCUGGCGGCGUGCCUAAUACAUGCAAGUUGAGCGAUGAAGAUUGGUGCUUGCCCCAAUUCGAAGAGCAGCGAACGGGUGAGUAACGCGUGGGGAAUCUGCCUUUGAGCGGGGGACAACAUUUGGAAACGAAUGCUAAUACCGCAUAACAACUUUAAACAUAAGUUUUAAGUUUGAAAGAUGCAAUUGCAUCACUCAAAGAUGAUCCCGCGUUGUAUUAGCUAGUUGGUGAGGUAAAGGCUCACCAAGGCGAUGAUACAUAGCCGACCUGAGAGGGUGAUCGGCCACAUUGGGACUGAGACACGGCCCAAACUCCUACGGGAGGCAGCAGUAGGGAAUCUUCGGCAAUGGACGAAAGUCUGACCGAGCAACGCCGCGUGAGUGAAGAAGGUUUUCGGAUCGUAAAACUCUGUUGGUAGAGAAGAACGUUGGUGAGAGUGGAAAGCUCAUCAAGUGACGGUAACUACCCAGAAAGGGACGGCUAACUACGUG
rnacentral:rRNA from 1 species